UGUCUGGUUUCAUUGACGUCAUUGGUAUCAAUUUAGACCGAAAGACAACAUUCAACAUUUAUUUUUGAAAUUCUUUUUUUCCAUUUUCUUUUCUGAAGCAAAAAAUUCCAUGUCUUUUCGUUUUGUUUUUACUUUAAUUCUUUAUUAUAUUGUUAGAGUUCUGACCACCACCUCUUCUUCCAUAACUAUACAACUAAAACUCUAUCACGACCUUCUUUCUUGCAUAGCCGGCUAAAAUUAAAUAUCUACCAUGACCAUCUAGAAGAACUAGUAUGCUCUAACCUUUUUUUAUCUUCUUCCGAGAAAAGAGUGGAUUUUUUUUAAAGACAAAUUCAUGGAAUAUAUAGCAACUUGUACAUCAUGUUUAUCAUGUUUAACUAAUUAAGUUAAACUCUAUAACCAUUAUAAUUCAUAAUGGUCAUAAUUUCUAAGUUUUGUGAUAGUUAAUGACUAAUCACAUACAACAACAUAAGUAAAUUUCUAGUUUAGUGUGUCAAUGAAUAGUUUUUUUUCUUUCCAGAUGAGCAUUUUGAUUUUUUUUUUAUCAUAUUUCUCAUUUUAAUUAACAAUUGCUAAAAUUCUUGCAAACCAAAUCAUGAAUGAAUAUUCAACCUCGCCUCUUAAUUGAUCUUCUUACCGUGUCAACACUUUUGCUAAAAAAUUUGGAGAAUUUUCAGAACGUGUUUAUUCUGUUUUUUUGCAUUGUAAUAAUAUUUUUGAAACAUGUAAUCAUUUAAGUUUCAUGAAUGAUGCUAAAAGUAUGCUAUCUGCUACAAUUCCCUUACAAUUAGUUUUUUUGCAUGGUCUUUCCUCGUAAGCAUUUUCUAUCAUUUCCUGUGCAUUAGCAGCCAAGAAUUGCCAUAACUCGAAUACCAAUUAAUUUUGGAAAUCUUUUUGAGUUUGGGAACUACAAAAGAGGAGGUGGCCAUGACCAUCUUCAAAGGAUUUGUUGACCUUUGUGAUAACACUUUGAAGUAGAAAACCGAGAGAUUGAUAAAGGAGACGAGACAUUAAAAUGAAACUCACUUUAAAUUUGUUAUCUAGGCUUAGUUUGAGUAAUAUAAGUACAAAAGUAUUUAUAGAUGCAUAGAAUCAUGAGGUGUUGAACAAGACGAUCC
rnacentral:lncRNA from 1 species